rnacentral:rRNA from 1 species
AACAUAUCUGCGAGUGUUUGGGUGAAAACCCAUGUGCGUAAUGAAAGUGAAAGUUGAGAUCCCUUCUCAAGGGAGCAUCGACGCCCGGACCAGACCUUUUGUGACGGAUCCGCGGUAGAGCAUGUAUGUUGGGACCCGAAAGAUGGUGAACUAUGCCUGAAUAGGGUGAAGUCAGAGGAAACUCUGGUGGAGGCUCGUAGCGAUUCUGACGUGCAAAUCGAUCGUCAAAUUUGGGUAUAGGGGCGAAAGACUAAUCGAGCCAUCUAGUAGCUGGUUCCUGCCGAAGUUUCCCUCAGGAUAGCAGAAACUCAUAUCAGAUUUAUGUGGUAAAGCGAAUGAUUAGAGGCCUUGGGGUUGAAACAACCUUAACCUAUUCUCAAACUUUAAAUAUGUAAGAACGAGCCGUCUCUUGACUGGACUGCUCGAUGAUUGAGAGUUUCUAGUGGGCCAUUUUUGGUAAGCAGAACUGGCGAUGCGGGAUGAACCGAACGCGAGGUUAAGGUGCCGGAAUUCACGCUCAUCAGACACCACAAAAGGUGUUAGUUCAUCUAG